AACGGCCGCGGUAUUUUGACCGUGCAAAGGUAGCAUAAUCAUUAGUCUUUUAAAAGAGGGCUAGAAUGAAUGGUUUGACGAAGUAUUGACUGUCUCAUUUUAUUUGAUGUUAAAAUUUAAUUUUUUAGUUAAAAAGCUGAAAUUUAUUUGGUAGACGAGAAGACCCUAUAGAGCUUUAUAUUUAAUUAAUAUUAUUAAUUUUAUAUAAAUUUUGGUUAUAUUAUUAAGUAUUUUGUUGGGGUGACAGAAAUAUAAGUAUAACUUUUUUAUUAAUGAUUCAUUAAUUUAUGUUUAUUAGAUCCUUUAUUAUUGAUUGUUAGAGUAAGUUACCUUAGGGAUAACAGCGUAAUCCUCUCCCAGAGUUCAUAUUUACGGGUAGGGCUUGCGACCUCGAUGUUGGAUUAAGAUUAUAAUCAGGUGUAGCCGCUUGAUUUAUAGGUCUGUUCGAC
rnacentral:rRNA from 1 species